GUCUUUUUGAAAUAAUUUAAAGUCUAAUCUGCCCACUGAUAAAAAAUUAAAGGGCUGCAGUAUAAUGACUGUACAAAGGUAGCAUAAUCAAUAGUUUUUUAAUUGAAAACUUGUAUGAAAGAUUUGAUGAAAUAUAAACUGUCUCUAAUUUAUAAAUUGAAUUUUAUUUUUUAGUAAAAAAGCUAAAAUAAAUUUAAAAGACGAGAAGACCCUAUAGAGUUUUAUAUUUAAUUUUAUUAGAAGCUUAUAUAAAAAUUAAUAUCAAAAAUAAAAUUAAAUGUUAUAUUGGGGUGAUAGAAAAAUUAAAUUAACUUUUUUUAAAAAUUAAACAUAAAUAAAUGAUUAUAUGAUCCAUAAAUAAUGAUUACAAGAAAAAAUUACCUUAGGGAUAACAGCGUAAUAUUUUUUUUUAGUUCAAAUAAAAAAAAAAGUUUGCGACCUCGAUGUUGGAUUAAGAUAAAAUUUAAAUGCAAAAGUUUAAAAGUUUUGAUCUGUUCGAUCAUUAAAAUCUUACA
rnacentral:rRNA from 1 species